ensembl:lncRNA
CCUUUAGUGUGUGAAGUCACGAAUUACACUUUUUUUAACAUACAUUUUCCGCUUUAGUCUUAUUUAAAUUUAAUCUGGUCGCUUAUUUGGAAUUAUUUUGAUCAGAUAAUUUGCGUAUGUUGGACACUUGUUUUAUUCACUGGCUUGUUUUUGCGAUACCUGGCAACUGUGUCCAGUCAACUGAUUCAGCAAACACGUGGACGGGCGUCGCAACACACUGAAAACACGUCUGGAGUAGAGUAAGAAGUAUAAAUAUAUAAUCGAUAUCUCUAUUUUGUUACUCAAAAUUGUGUGUCCGUGGUGACUGUGAACGAGAAAUUCCGGCCGGGAUUCUUUCAUUUAAAGUUACGUUGAUAACACAACGAUGAGCAAAAAGACCAAGAAAUUCAACGUCAACGUUUGCAAAAGAUGUUUGCUCUGCGGUCAGCAGUACGGACAAAAGGGUUCUGACAUCUUUGGCUGGCCCCUCCUUUGUUUUUCCUUCUUGAAUUCUUUUCACUGCCUCUGCAUAACUUAUAUUACUCUUUGUUUUAAUUUGUUGGACCUCCACUGCUCUUUCCCUUACCUCACAUCCUCCAUAUGUCACACUAUGAUCUCCACCAAGUUACAACAGGCUACCUUCGCAUUUUCCCCACAUUCCUCAUACCUAUGCUCCCCCCACAGCACAUCUUUGUUUUCCUCUACACACUGCCGCAAUAUGUCCAUAUCUCUGACACUUGUAACACCUAAGAGGUGGUGGAACAUAUUCUCUGACAUAGUAGCUCAUGUAUUCCUAUUUUAACCCUUUCUGGAAGUUUUUCAUUUUGAAAGUCAAUUAACACAGACAAACUGGCAACUCGUUUUCCAUUUACUGUUUUAUUUAAUCUCACAUUCGUUACUAUUCCUCCUAGUAUAUUCUUUUUGAUGUUGUCCAAAUCCUCUUCGACUGGAAUACCCCAUAUUACUCCCAGUUUCCCCAUUUUUCCAUGUAUUACUUUUUUAUCCACUACAGUCUUCUUGCAUACAUUUCCAAUAUGCAACGCUUUAUUCAUUUGUUCCUCUGUCUUACAUUUGAUCAGUAUAUUCCCGUCCUAAAGGAUUUUUGCCAUUUCUAUCUCUCCCAGCUUCUUCUUUAAAUCUUUGGUAAGUGCAAUGGGACCUAAAGCUAUGUGUUCAUCUUCUUUCCUCAUUACAAGUAUUAUCUUGAAUUCUUCCCUUUCCAAUCUCCUCCAAAUUGUCUGCUCAUUUUCCUCGAAACUACUUUCUUCCAGACCCCUUUUUUUGCUUAUGGUAUUUAUGCUUCUAUUCCCUCCUUCCUGACUUCUUCCUAUAUCCCGCUCUUUUUCACCCCCUACCGCCAUCCAUUCUUCACUAUUUACGUCGUCAUCUUCAUACUAAGAUCCUUCUCUCCUGAUCCAUUCACUAACCAGUUCCUUCGGAAACAACGAUGACUCUCUGAUGGGUCGUGCCCACGCAAAAGCGGCCAGAGACCCCGCCCUGACAGAGACAGCAGGCCACCGGCACAAGAAUCAAAGCCGCGUUCCUGAUGCUGUCUCUCGGAGGAGAAAAUCUGCACCCAGCGCUGAAGACGAGUCACUGAAAAAGUCUGCUCGCUCUGCUGUGUGUUCACCACACCCCUGCCUGUUGGAGGCGGCAAGAGCAAUUGUUAUGUUUGUGUUUGACUGUUCCACUAUGUAGUGCAAUAAAGUUGAAAAACAUACAAAACUCACCUCAAUAUCAGAGCAGUUCUCCUCUUCUCACUCCCCUCUCCCACAUCACUCACUCUCACAGAGAUUGGUUUAUCUCUGUGGAUUUAAAGGAUGCUUAUUUUCACAUUCAGGUAGCCCCUCGCCACAGGCGUUUCCUGAUAUUUGCAUUCGAGGGGAUAGCGUACCAGUUCACGGCCUUACCCUUAACGCUGCUCAGCGACAAGCUCAGACUC